AUGCGCUACACCUACCGCCAACGGAGACAGGUAGUUGAGGCGAGUAGCCCGAGGUGAUCGAGAGAACUCUCGUUAAGGAACUCGGCAAAAUGACCCCGUAACUUCGGGAGAAGGGGUGCUGACUUAGGUCAGCCGCAGUGAAUAGGCCCAAGCAACUGUUUAUCAAAAACACAGCUCUCUGCUAAAUCGUAAGAUGAUGUAUAGGGGGUGACGCCUGCCCGGUGCUGGAAGGUUAAGAGGAGGGUUUAGCGCAAGCGAAGAUCUGAAUUGAAGCCCCAGUAAACGGCGGCCGUAACUAUAACGGUCCUAAGGUAGCGAAAUUCCUUGUCGGGUAAGUUCCGACCCGCACGAAAGGCGUAAUGAUUUGGGCACUGUCUCAACGAGAGACUCGGUGAAAUUUUAGUACCUGUGAAGAUGCAGGUUACCCGCGACAGGACGGAAAGACCCCAUGGAGCAUUACUGCAGUUUGAUAUUGAGUAUCUGUACAACAUGUACAGG
rnacentral:rRNA from 1 species